rnacentral:rRNA from 1 species
UACGGAGGAGGCAAGCGUUAUCCGGAAUUAUUGGGCGUAAAGCGUCCGCAGGUGGCACCUCAAGUCUGCUGUCAAAGACCGGGGCUUAACCCCAGAAAGGCAGUGGAAACUGAAGUGCUAGAGUGCAGUAGGGGUAGAGGGAAUUCCCGGUGUAGCGGUGAAAUGCGCAGAUAUCGGGAAGAACACCCGUGGCGAAGGCGGUUCUCUGGGACGGUACUGACGCUGAGACGCGAAAGCGUGGGGAGCGAACAGG